ACGGAAUGUGCUCCCUUUGUAGAGAUCAUGGCCCUGGAGAGCAGGUUCAAGUUUUCAUGAGCCAAACAACCGAUCAUAGCACCUUCCUGCCACCCAGGAUGUCCUGACUUCUAUAUGGGAACCAUCUGGGCCACCAUCAUGUGGUGUACAUCAUGAUCACCAUCAGUAAACUCGGAACAUCAUUGAAUUCCAAGAUCAAAAGAAACCUUAAAGAAAUGAAUGAGGCAACAUGUAGCCUAUUUUCUACUAGUGAGCAACUUACAUCCAUGAUGAAGCCAACACUCUUAUCAGAAGAGAGACAAAAGGAACUUGGAUCCUUGAUCACAUCGCUGAACUGGAUGAACCAGUCCUGACACACACUUCCAAGCAUGUAAGCCAAUAAACGUACUUACUCGUGAAGCUA